AUCGUCCACCAUACCACCCUGAAUGCGCCUGAUCUCAUGUGAUCUCAGAAUCUAAGCAGGGUUGGGCCUGGAUAGUACUUGGAGGGGAAAUGGGUGCCAAUU
rnacentral:rRNA from 1 species